rnacentral:rRNA from 1 species
GACGAACGCUGGCGGCGUGCUUAACACAUGCAAGUCGAACGGAGUGGCGAACGGGUGAGUAAAAUGUGGGUGACCUGCCCUGCACUUCGGGAUAUGCCUGGGGAACUGGGUCUAAUACCGGAUAGUGGGGGAUGGGCCCGCGGCCUAUCAGCUUGUUGGUGGGGUAAUGGCAUACCAAGGCGGCGACGGGUAGCCGGCCUGAGAGGGUGGACGGCCACAUUGGGACUGAGACACGGCCGAGGGUCGUACGGGAGGCAGGAGUGGGGAAUGUUGAACACUGGGCGGAAGCGUGAUGCUGCGACGCCGCGUGGGGGGUGAGGGCCUUCGGGUUGUAAACUCCUUUCACCAUCGACGCGGUAGGUGGAGAAGAAGCACCGGCUAACUACGUGCCAGCAGCCGCGGUAAUUC